GCCGUGGUGGCGGAAUUGGUAGACGCGCUGGAUUUAGGAUCCAGUCUCCUACGGAGGUGCAGGUUCGAUUCCUGUCCGCGGCA
rnacentral:tRNA from 1 species